CUACGGGAGGCAGCAGUGGGGAAUAUUGCACAAUGGGCGCAAGCCUGAUGCAGCGACGCCGCGUGGGGGAUGACGGCCUUCGGGUUGUAAACUCCUUUCAGCAGGGACGAAGCGUAAGUGACGGUACCUGCAGAAGAAGCACCGGCUAACUACGUGCCAGCAGCCGCGGUAAUACGUAGGGUGCGAGCGUUGUCCGGAAUUACUGGGCGUAAAGAGCUCGUAGGCGGUUUGUCGCGUCGUCUGUGAAAUCCCGGGGCUUAACUCCGGGCGUGCAGGCGAUACGGGCAGACUUGAGUACUGUAGGGGAGACUGGAAUUCCUGGUGUAGCGGUGGAAUGCGCAGAUAUCAGGAGGAACACCGAUGGCGAAGGCAGGUCUCUGGGCAGUAACUGACGCUGAGGAGCGAAAGCAUGGGUAGCGAACAGGAUUAGAUACCCUGGUAGUCCAUGCCGUAAACGGUGGGCGCUAGGUGUGGGGGCCGUUCCUGGUUUCCGUGCCGUAAGCUAACGCAUUAAGCGCCCCG
rnacentral:rRNA from 1 species